rnacentral:rRNA from 1 species
UACGGGGGGGGCAAGCGUUGUUCGGAAUUACUGGGCGUAAAGCGCGCGUAGGCGGCUUUUCAAGUCGGGCGUGAAAGCCCCGGGCUUAACCCGGGAAUGGCGCUCGAUACUGUUGAGCUAGAGUGUGGAAGGGGCUACUGGAAUUCCGUGUGUAGCGGUGAAAUGCGUAGAUAUACGGAGGAACACCAGCGGCGAAGGCGGGUCUCUGGGCCGAUACUGACGCUGAGGAGCGAAAGCAUGGGUAGCGAACAGG